rnacentral:rRNA from 1 species
AUUGAACGCUGGCGGCAGGCCUAACACAUGCAAGUCGAGCGAGCGGCGGACGGGUGAGUACUGUAUCGGGACUGUUCGUUAUAGGGGGAUAACUACUGGAAACGGUAGUUAAUACCGCAUACUAUCGGAUUACCUUUUUGGGAUUAGCUAGUAGGUGAGGUAAUGGCUCACCUAGGCGACGAUCCCUAGCUGGUCUGAGAGGAUGAUCAGCCACACUGGGACUGAGACACGGCCCAGACUCCUACGGAGGCAGCAGUGGGGAAUAUUGGACAAUGGGCGCAAGCCUGAUGCAGCCAUGCCGCGUGUAUGAAGAAGGCCCUAGGGUUGUAAAGUACUUUCAGUCGGGAGGCGUUACCGACAGAAGAAGCACCGGCUAACUCCGUGCCAGCAGCCGCGGUAAUAC